rnacentral:tRNA from 1 species
GCCGGCGUGGCGAAAUGGCAGACGCAACGGACUUAAAAUCCGUUGGGAGGAAACUCCCGUGCGGGUUCAAGUCCCGCCGCCGGCA